AGAUUAGAGUGUGCUAGCUUGCUAGAAUUUAGAUACAGGUGCUGCACGGCUGUCGUCAGCUCGUGUCGUGAGAUGUGGGUUAAGUCCCGCAACGAGCGCAACCCUCGUGUUUAGUUGCUAACAGUUCGGCUGAGAACUCUAAACAGACUGCCUACGCAAGUAGGAGGAAGGUGAGGACGACGUCAAGUCAUCAUGGCCCUUACGGCCAGGGCUACACACGUGCUACAAUGGGGUAUACAAAGAGCAGCGAUACGGUGACGUGGAGCAAAUCUAGAAAAUGCCUCUCAGUUCGGAUUGUAGUCUGCAACUCGACUACAUGAAGUUGGAAUCGCUAGUAAUCGUAGAUCAGCAAUGCUACGGUGAAUACGUUCCCGGGUCUU
rnacentral:rRNA from 1 species